rnacentral:rRNA from 1 species
GACGAACGCUGGCGGCGUGCUUAACACAUGCAAGUCGAACGGAAAGGCCCUGCUUUUGUGGGGUGCUCGAGUGGCGAACGGGUGAGUAACACGUGAGUAACCUGCCCUUGACUUUGGGAUAACUUCAGGAAACUGGGGCUAAUACCGGAUAGGAGCUCCUGCUGCAUGGUGGGGGUUGGAAAGUUUCGGCGGUUGGGGAUGGACUCGCGGCUUAUAAGCUUGUUGGUGGGGUAGUGGCUUACCAAGGCUUUGACGGGUAGCCGGCCUGAGAGGGUGACCGGCCACAGUGGGACUGAGAUACGGCCCAGACUCCUACGGGAGGCAGCAGUGGGGAAUAUUGCACAAUGGGCGGAAGCCUGAUGCAGCAACGCCGCGUGCGGGAUGACGGCCUUCGGGUUGUAAACCGCUUUCGCCUGUGACGAAGCGUGAGUGACGGUAAUGGGUAAAGAAGCACCGGCUAACUACGUG